AUGGCGCCCGAGGUCUCCUCGCCCCUCCCUCGGCAGGACGUGCUGGAGCUUGCCGCUGCCUGUGACGUGCCCGCCUUGGCUCUCCUUGAUGACACCGCAUCUUGGAAUGUUCGUGGUCUCGGUAGAAACAAAAAAUGUACUGACGUCAAAGCUGCUCUCUUCGGCCUCGACCCCUCUUUUAUUUGCUUGCAAGAAACAAAGCUUGAUGAUAUCUCUACUUUCAAAGCCAGCUCCUUCUUACCCACUAGGUUGAAAUCAUUCCAUUUCUUGCCUUCAAAUGGUUCUGCUGGAGGAAUACUAACAGCUUGGAACGAUCAAGACUGCUCCCGCACUUCUGUCACUGCUCUUAAGUUCUCCUUAACCUUACACUUCUCGGCCAGAGCUAGCAACGAUGAUUUCUCGAUCUCUAACAUUUAUGGUCCUUGCGUCAGCUUUGAGAAGCAAGCGUUUGUUGACGAACUUCUUCUCUUAGGAUCCUUUGUAACCGGCCCCUGGGCUCUUUUAGGCGAUUUCAACUUUACUCUAAAGCCUAACGAGCGCUCGAAUGACAACUUUAACCAUUCCGAAGCCUUGCUCUUCUCGUCUACCUUAAACCGUCUUAAUCUUCAGGAGCUUCCCCAUCUCGAUAGGCUAUUUACUUGGUCUAACCAACAAGACUCCCCGACUUUGGUGCGCUUGGAUAGGGCUUUUGUCAACACAGCUUGGAGUUUCCUCCUCCCGGACUCCACACUCACGUCCGCUUGCCGGUCAACUUCUGAUCAUGUGCCGCUUGUUCUCAUUGCUGCGUGCAAAGUUCCCAUGCCUUCGGUCUUCCGGUUCAACAACGGCCUUCUGCACUUACAACCUUUCAUGAACAUCAUUUUGCAAAAUUGGAAUAGUGUUGUCCCAUCUACCCACUUGGGCCACUUAUGUCUCAAACUUAAGAGAGUGCGCGCAGCUGCUAAGGCCUGGCCAAGCAAGCUAGAUCUCCUCUUGUGA
rnacentral:rRNA from 1 species